rnacentral:rRNA from 1 species
CCCGCACAAGCGGAGGAACAUUGUGGUUUAAUUCGAUGAUACGCGAGGAACCUUACCUGGGCUUAAAUGUAGAGUGCAUUUUUUAGAGAUAGAAAGUUCCCUUCGGGGCUUUCUGCAAGGUGCUGCAUGGUUGUCGUCAGCUCGUGCCGUGAGGUGUCGGGUUAAGUCCCAUAACGAGCGCAACCCUUAUCGUUAGUUGCCAGCUGGUAAAGCAGGGGACUCUAGCGAAACUGCCACCGUAAGGUGAGAGGAAGGUGGGAUGACGUCAAAUCGGCACGGCCCUUAUGUCCAGGGCUACACACGUGUUACAAUGGCCGGCACAGAGGGCAGCUACCUGGUGACAGGAUGCUAAUCUCGAAAACCGGUCUCAGUUCGGAUCGAAGUCUGCAACUCGACUUCGUGAAGCUGGAUUCGCUAGUAAUCGCGCAUCAGCCAUGGCGCGGUGAAUACGUUCCCGGGCCUU